ensembl:lncRNA
CCUCUUUCUUUUGCUUCUAAAAUCAUCAGAUGAGAAACAAAUCCAGUGUUCCUGUGAAUAAUAGAGUUGAUGACUGAAGAAGGGAUAUCAGUUACUCAUUAGAAGAAUUCAGACACUGCAGCAUCACCUUCUACUCUGCAGGUUCCAGUUCUGUCACUUUUCCAGAAAUCUGGAUUCCUUCAUCCUCUCAGAGAUGGGGAAUUUUUCAGCUAGAAUGAAGAACAAUCUUUAUAUAAAAGUAGAAGACAAAAAUUAGGGAAUUUAUCCUCCAGCCAGGAGAACCAGAGCUGACCCAGUCCUGGACAUGUGGGGGAAAAAUGGAAGAACAAACUCUUCUCCUUCAUCCAACAUCUUCCACUUGAUCCAAAGUAGCCUGUCAAGACAAAAAGAGGAUCUGCCCCUUUGCCAGCUCUUCAGAAGAAGUACAUUAUGACACUGCUCUGUGACAUGCCCUGUACACGACCAGAGUAAAAAAGAGACACGUUUUUCAGAUAUAAUGGAUUCUCCCAUCCAAAAACCUUACAUAUUACCUGGAGUAAAUGUCAUUUGCCAAAUGCAGUCUGGUUUCACUUCUUUUUCUCCUAAAAUCUCAUUUCUCUUCUAAACAUGUUGUUUGAGGCUGAUAAAUUGUUUCUCAAAUCAACCUGAGGCAAUCAACAUCACUUUGUGGACAGUUUUACAUUUUGAAGCAUCUCUUUUGAGUUGUUUGCCUUUGAAAAGGAGGGCCCAGGAGUGUUAAUUGGCUGAAGACUUGCCCUGGGAGGAAAUGAAACCAACUUGAUACAGGAGACUGGAAAGUGAUGCUACUGUAUCCUGCGAAGCCAAGAUACGUGCUGGUGUCUCCCUGCUUCCCCUUAUCUUCUGACUUAAAUUUGCAAGUUCUGGAAGACAGGAACAAAGGAGUCCCUGCUGAGAUCCCAAACCCAGAAGCUGUCACUACAAAAGGGCAUGCUUGGCCACUUUGUACUAUAAGUAAGAGUUUGUACUGUUGGUGUUAUUUGUCAUCAGCUGAACAACACAACUUCUGAUGACCCUUUGCUGCUGAAGACCAGCACCUGACAAGAAGACGUUGCUGGAUCUAGGAGCGGU